rnacentral:lncRNA from 1 species
GGAAUAAGGGAUAGUUGCGUAGCGUUGACACUUAUCACAUGAGUGAGAUAUUCUAAUGGCAUCUUGGUGGAGUGUUGGCUAAUAGUAUCCUUGGCGAAAAGUCUUGUGUGCUAAGGAUCGAGACCCAGCAUGAUCUCCGCAGACUCCUUCAUGUAUUUCCCGAAGGACAAUUUCCGCCUCCGCAGGUGUAAGGCAUCUUAGGUAGGGCAGGGUAAAACCACGCUUGUAGAGUUGGUCAUUAAUGAUCAGGUAACGAGCAGACUUGUAUCGAAUCUGCUUAGCUUGGGCUUUGUCAUUUGGGAGGGUGCCAUGGGCAAGGAAUUUAUAAAUUGGGGUGAUCCAACUAUCUCCUUGUUGUAAAUUGCACACUUCCGCGACCAUGGUGCUUGGUGCUGCCAACAAUUCGACAUGAAUUUUUCUCCCAAUCUUGUCUUCCACUACCGAGGCGAGGCGGG